rnacentral:misc_RNA from 1 species
AGUCGUAACAAGGUAUCCGUAGGUGAACCUGCGGAUGGAUCAUUAACAAAGAUUUUAAAAAGUCUUGUGAACUGUAUAUUAGAACGUUGUCUAGCCUAGGCGGCCUUGCGUAGUCUAGCCUGGGCGACCUUGCGUAGUCUAGCCUGGGCGACCUUGCGUAGUCUAGCCUAGGCGACCUUGCGUUGUCUAGCCUAGGCGGCCUUGCGUAGUCUAGCCUAGGCAACACCCAAACGUAUAUAAACUUAACCUGACGUCUACCUUUAGCGUAGUAAAAACUAAACUAAAGACAACUUUUAGCAACGGAUCUCUUGGCUCUC